rnacentral:rRNA from 1 species
UACAGAGGUCUCAAGCGUUGUUCGGAUUCAUUGGGCGUAAAGGGUGCGUAGGCGGCGCGGUAAGUCGGGUGUGAAAUCUCGGAGCUUAACUCCGAAACUGCAUUCGAUACUGCCGUGCUUGAGGGACUGGAGAGGAGACUGGAAUUUACGGUGUAGCGGUGAAAUGCGUAGAUAUCGGAAGGAACACCGGUGGCGAAAAGCGGCG